GUGGGGAAUCUUAGACAAUGGGCGCAAGCCUGAUCUAGCCAUGCCGCGUGAGCGAUGAAGGCCUUAGGGUUGUAAAGCUCUUUCAGUGGGGAAGAUAAUGACUGUACCCACAGAAGAAGCCCCGACUAACUCCGUGCCAGCAGCCGCGGUAAUACGGAGGGGGCUAGCGUUGUUCGGAAUUACUGGGCGUAAAGCGCACGUAGGCGGACUGGAAAGUCAGGGGUGAAAUCCCGGGGCUCAACCCCGGAACUGCCUUUGAAACUCCCAGUCUUGAGGUCGAGAGAGGUGAGUGGAAUUCCGAGUGUAGAGGUGAAAUUCGUAGAUAUUCGGAGGAACACCAGUGGCGAAGGCGGCUCACUGGCUCGAUACUGACGCUGAGGUGCGAAAGCGUGGGGAGCAAACAGGAUUAGAUACCCCAGUAGUCC
rnacentral:rRNA from 1 species